GAUGAACGCUGGCGGCGUGCCUAAUACAUGCAAGUCGAGCGAACGGACGAGAAGCUUGCUUCUCUGACGUUAGCGGCGGACGGGUGAGUAACACGUGGAUAACCUACCUAUAAGACUGGGAUAACUUCGGGAAACCGGAGCUAAUACCGGAUGAUAUUUUGAACCGCAUGGUUCAAAAGUGAAAGACGGUCUUGCUGUCACUUCUCGCUGGAUCCGCGCUGCAUUAGCUAGUUGGUAAGGUAACGGCUUACCAAGGAAACGAUGCAUAGCCGACCUGAGAGGGUGAUCGGCCACACUGGAACUGAGACACGGUCAAGACUCCUGAGGGAGGCAGCAGUAGGGAAUCGUCCGCAAUGGGCGAAAGUCUGACGGAGCAACGCCGCGUGAGUGAUGAAGGUCUUCGGAUCGUAAAACUCUGUUAUUAGGGAAGAACAUAUGUGUAAGUAACUGUGCACAUCUUGACGGUACCUAAUCAGAAAGCCCCGGCUAACUACGUG
rnacentral:rRNA from 1 species